rnacentral:lncRNA from 1 species
CUCUCUAGAAAGGUCUACAUCUAUCCACACUGUUAAGGGCUCACAGCCUUUUGGUGUCAUGCGGGGACAGCACACCAGGCCAGGCCUCUCCCAGUCCUACUCUCUGCCAAGCCCUGUGACAGGAGGGGACAGCUGCAGUUCCUUCCAGCUAUAAAAAGACCUGACACCAAGUGAGCAGAGGACGUUCAGCCCUCGGGACACCUAGCUGACUUGGGAAGGAACUCGGCCCCAGAACCAUGCUGAGGUUGCCCCCUAUCACACAGCUGCUCCAAGCCCCCCUCAGAUGCUGGGCAGUUCCCAAGGCCCACAUCUCUGCCAAGCCGGCCAGAACACCUACCUCUCCUAUGGUAAGUGACCUCUAAGACAGCAGUAGGUCAUUCUGAGGACUUGGCCCAUUUCCUAGGUUUGGGGGCAAAAACACAAGUCCAGGCUAUUAAUGGGGAGGCGACCAUGGUGCUGGAUGUCAGUGCUUCUGUCAAGACAAUUGUCUUGAAUGCCAGGAAAGGGGUCCUAAAGCCAUUUCCUGCAGGACAGCCUCCCAAAGUGGCUGCCGAGUUCAGUGGUGGGCCAGGCUCCCUUUCUCAGGCAGGCCUCUCACUUUUUGGCAAAGGCCAGUGGUCAGAGGACACUCAAUGCUGUGCGGACCUUGCUGUCUGUGAAAGGGGAAGAGCUGGGAUGCUGACGGUCAAGGAGAGUACAGGUGAAAGCCAAAAUGUACGUUAACACUUUUGACUCCAGAGCAGUGUUUUAAGAAUAAAUAAGUCAAGGUUUACAGGGUCACCUGCUCAAGGUCAUGUAGCUAAGACCUGAGUCCAGGCUGCAUAUGCCUUUAAGCCUCCGGGGGUGAAAGUCAACAGGAGGGACUCUAACCCCGCCCUCAAUCUAGCUUUAGAAAGAUAGAGGGGUGGGAGGCCUGACCCUGGCUUUUUCAGGGGGGAACUGAAAGUGAAAUUUGGUCGGGGCUCUCUUAAGUUCAGCCAGUGAGAAGGCGUGGCUCCAGGUGGGGUCCCUCUGCACAAAUGGGGCACAGGCAUGCACAGACACACAGGUGCAGCCGGUGGAAGCUGACCUCCCCACCAGGCUUCUGAACGGAAUUAUCCUUCAUGGAAAGGCCUGUACUUAUUUGCAAGCAGUUUAAAUCUCAGUUGUUUCUGCCAUUCCAUACAGCAGGGCACCCUGCAUGUGGGGCCACAGGUAUUGGAGGGGAGUGUGUACUGCUGUCCUUCUGUGGAGAGCAGCCAGGGUCUUGGGCCCAGAGCCCAGGGCUUUCCUCCUGGUCUUCAAGGCUGCCCUCAGGGACAACAGCAGAAGUCAGUACAGGGUACACAUGAACAGCCUGAAGGCAUGUGGGAGAAACCCAGUUGGCCCAAGUCAGAGGGAGUGGAGUGGGGCGGGGCAGUGGCAGGCAGACAGUCUCCUUCAGUGACCAGGCCUCAUGGGCUCAUGUGCUUUCCUUCACCAGGAGCAGGCUGUGGGGAUCUCGACCAUGUUUGUGAGCUUCCUGGUUCCAGCAGGCUGGGUUUUGUCCCAUCUGGAGAGUUACAAGAAGAGCUCUGUAGCAUGAAGACCCUGUGGCCACCUGGGCAGUCCUAGAAAAGCACAUUAAACUCC